UACGUAGGGUGCGAGCGUUGUCCGGAAUUAUUGGGCGUAAAGAGCUUGUAGGCGGUUUGUCGCGUCUGCUGUGAAAAUCCGGGGCUCAACCCCGGACUUGCAGUGGGUACGGGCAGACUAGAGUGUGGUAGGGGAGACUGGAAUUCCUGGUGUAGCGGUGAAAUGCGCAGAUAUCAGGAGGAACACCGGUGGCGAAGGCGGGUCUCUGGGCCGAUACUGACGCUGAGGAGCGAAGGCGUGGGGAGCGAACAGG
rnacentral:rRNA from 1 species